UGCACUGAUGUAUCUGCACCCAGCAGUAGUUCCUGCUGGAUGUUCAUAAAACAGUGCUAUACUAAUUCAGCAUUUUGCAUCGUUGGUUGGCAGGCUCCUCAUGUUUGUUAACUUGGUUUUUCAGCUGGUACAUUC